rnacentral:rRNA from 1 species
AUUGAACGCUGGCGGCAGGCCUAACACAUGCAAGUCGAACGGUAACAGGAAGAAGCUUGCUUCUUUGCUGACGAGUGGCGGACGGGUGAGUAAUGUCUGGGAAACUGCCUGAUGGAGGGGGAUAACUACUGGAAACGGUAGCUAAUACCGCAUAACGUCGCAAGACCAAAGAGGGGGACCUUCGGGCCUCUUGCCAUCGGAUGUGCCCAGAUGGGAUUAGCUAGUGGGUGGGGUAACGGCUCACCUAGGCGACGAUCCCUAGCUGGUCUGAGAGGAUGACCGGCCACACUGGAACUGAGACACGGUCCAGACUCCUACGGGAGGCAGCAGUGGGGAAUAUUGCACAAUGGGCGCAAGCCUGAUGCAGCCAUGCCGCGUGUAUGAAGAAGGCCUUCGGGUUGUAAAGUACUUUCAGCGGGGAGGAAGGGAGUAAAGUUAAUACCUUUGCUCAUUGACGUUACCCGCAGAAGAAGCACCGGCUAACUCCGUG